GAGCGGCAGCGGGUCCUUCGGGAUGCCGGCGAGCGGCGGACGGGUGAGUAAUGCCUAGGAAUCUGCCUGGUAGUGGGGGAUAACUCGGGGAAACUCGAGCUAAUACCGCAUACGUCCUACGGGAGAAAGCGGGGGAUCUUCGGACCUCGCGCUACCAGAUGAGCCUAGGUCGGAUUAGCUAGUUGGUGAGGUAAAGGCUCACCAAGGCUACGAUCCGUAGCUGGUCUGAGAGGAUGAUCAGCCACACUGGAACUGAGACACGGUCCAGACUCCUACGGGAGGCAGCAGUGGGGAAUAUUGGACAAUGGGCGAAAGCCUGAUCCAGCCAUGCCGCGUGUGUGAAGAAGGUCUUCGGAUUGUAAAGCACUUUAAGUUGGGAGGAAGGGCAGUAAGUUAAUACCUUGCUGUUUUGACGUUACCGACAGAAUAAGCACCGGCUAACUUCGUGCCAGCAGCCGCGGUAAUACGAAGGGUGCAAGCGUUAAUCGGAAUUACUGGGCGUAAAGCGCGCGUAGGUGGUUUGAUAAGUUGGAUGUGAAAGCCCCGGGCUCAACCUGGGAAUUGCAUCCAAAACUGUCUGACUAGAGUAUGGCAGAGGGUGGUGGAAUUUCCUGUGUAGCGGUGAAAUGCGUACAUAUAGGAAGGAACACCAGUGGCG
rnacentral:rRNA from 1 species